rnacentral:lncRNA from 1 species
GGGGGGACAUAUAGUGCCUCUGGCUUAGAUUGAUGCCGCGGAGCGAGAGGCGCGCCAGGUUCCUGCUCCGCAUCGGGAAGUGGAAUGUGAUUCUAUUCCGAGCGGAAGUGUUCCGCAGCUCGACGUGGAGUUCCUCGACGGCGCAGGCAGCGGUUGAAGCACUUGGUGCUCAUCACGCUUGUCUUCACGACGAGGGAGAAGCUCUGGAGACGGCGCCCUCGUCGCCGCUGCAGCAACUCGAGCAGCUGCUCCGAUGAUGGAU